rnacentral:misc_RNA from 1 species
GAUGAAGAACGUAGCGAAAUGCGAUAAGUAAUGUGAAUUGCAGAAUUCAGUGAAUCAUCGAAUCUUUGAACGCACAUUGCGCCCGCCAGUAUUCUGGCGGGCAUGCCUGUUCGAGCGUCAUUACAACUCUCAGGCCCCCGGGCCUGGCGUUGGGGAUCGGCGGAGCCCCCCGUGGGCACACGCCGUCCCCCAAAUACAGUGGCGGUCCCGCCGCAGCUUCCAUCGCGUAGUAGCUAACACCUCGCGACUGGAGAGCGGCGCGGCCACGCCGUAAAACACCCAACUCUUCUGAAGUUGACCUCGAAUCAGGUAGGAAUACCCGCUGAACUUAAGCAUAUCAAUAAGCGGAGGA